CUCUCCCGGCUGUCAGUCAGUUCCCGGCUUGGCAAGCUGCCUCAGACUUUUUCCUAACUUACUUCUGGCACUUCCUAUGUCUUCUCUGAUGAAUUCAAGCAUUCUCUACAAAUGAUAUGUUUGAAAGAGGCCCACAGGAGCUGAGAAGGCAGCCAAUUACCUGUAGAAAGCAUGAGAUGUUCAAGAAAAAGAACAACUUCAGUGGAAGAAGAAGAUAGGAGCCCAGGUCCUGUGCUUCACCAAGACAGCCGUGCAAAGUAGAUGCUGCCAAAAAGGUACAAAGUGGUUUGUCAGCUCUUCUGCAUGUUCUAACAAAUUAGACAUGCAUCCCAAAAGGUAUACUACAAUAUUAAAGCUUAUUUAUACACACUGUAAAGUUUCCCCUGAGUGUCCUGGCAGGCACUUGCAUGGCUGGGCAGUAUCCGUGGACUGAUUCCUUUGUGAAUUACAUGGAGCUGACAGGGCUGAUUCCCACAGCUGACUCGGAGGAGGAUGGAAGCUUGUGCUGGGCAAGGGGCUGAAGCCCCUCUGUGUAAGUCAUAUUAAUCUCCUCUGAGCAGAGUGCUACAAAAUUACUAAAGCUGCUUCUUGAAGACACUUCUAAUGCAGUACCUAAUGAAAAUGUCAGGUGCGACAAGUUAUUAGUUGCUGCACUGCUGUUCUGAAGUCCCAGGUAUUUCUCUACCUGUUAUCCAUGAAUGUGAGUUUUGUGGGGAAGGCAGUCACAGGCUGAGGAAAGCAUCAGCAGUCGUGUGUGCUGUCAGGCCUGUAAAGUGAGUGAGGACAAUGAAGCUGGUUGAAGUGCCCCAGGAAAUGGCCAGACUUCCAUAGUGGAGGUGAGGUGAAGAACUGAGUCCAGGCAAAGGUGUGUGGGGAGAAGAAGCUGCCUGGUGUACGAUGCUGAGUAAUGAUACAACCCAAAUCAUCUGACUCUGCAGAUUUGAAAGUUGCUGUUAUUAUUAAGAAUUCAGAUGGGAAAAGAAAUAUGGUUUGGGUUAUUUCCAUAGUCAUUCCAGAAAUCCAGGCUCAGUUUGGCAUUUAUUAACAUAACUGUUUAUAUUGGAUCUGUGUAGAAGUUUGUAUCUUUCUGACUUGCAUGAUACUUCAGCUUUUCCUUGGAGUCUCUGUGGCUUCUCUUCCUCCCUUGCUCACAUCCAGUCAUUGUCAAAUGGCUUUGUGCAAGUUACUCUUUCUCGGCCUCCAUUUUUUUGGAUUCUGCCUUUGUUCAAUCUCGUUUCUCUUUGCCGCCCUCCUUGCCUGUACUCUGUCCAGUCCAGGCCCUCUGGACCUCUUGCCUGGACCUCCAAGCUCUCCCUCCUCCCAUCUCUUCCCUUUCAACCUUCCUACCCAGAGCACAGCAGUAGUAACAGCUAACACCAUUUAAUAGGCAUCCUUUCUAUGCCAGGCCCUGGGGUUGCUAUGUCACAUAUAUUAUUUGUAAUGUUUGCAAUAACCCUGGAAAUGGUAUUAUUACCUCCAUUGUACAGUUUGGAAGGCACCAAAAAAGGCACAUGGGUCCACAUUCAUGCAAGCUAAUGAGGGGCAAAACUGGAAUGAGAACCCAGUGCCACUUGGUCCCUCAGCUUAUGCUGUUCCCUAACCAUACUGCUUCCUCCACUCAGAAUCCUUUAGUGGCUCCCAUUGCCUAAUAGAUCAAGUCUGGGCUCCUUAUCUUGGCUUCUGGGUCCUCUAAAAUGUAGUCUGCUAGGUUUCCAGGCUUUCCUCUCCACCCCUCACACAUCCUACACUUUAGCCAAAAAAACAGACAAAAACCCCAAAAACAAAAAAAUCCAUUUUUAUUUAUACCCGUGCUUUCUUUCCUAAGUGCUUUUAUAUGUGCUAUUUCUCCAGCCGGGAGCAGAGACUGUCAUGCUUUCCUCUGUAUAAGUAAAUGUUGCCCAAGAAAACAUUGAACAGAGUUGGGCUAGAGAUCCAUUUAUUUUCUGGUUCACAAAGGGCAUAUUGGAUCUUUAUUAAAUAGUCUAAAAUGUCCUUUCAAUAAUGUUUUUCUUUAAUAUCUUUUUAAAAGACAUUUAAAGUGAAUCAGAAAGCAGUUAAAUGAUUAAUUGCUGUGGCUGGAUUCUGCUGCCCUCAGCCUGUGUGGAUGCUAUCUCACCGAUUAACCUCCAUUUCUAAGCUCUGUCUGAUUGAGGGAAGCAAUGACAGA